UACGGGGGGGGCAAGCGUUGUUCGGAAUUACUGGGCGUACAGGGCGCGUAGGCGGCCUGCUAAGUCGGACGUGAAAUCCCCCGGCUCAACCGGGGAACUGCGUCCGAUACUGGUGGGCUCGAAUCCGGGAGAGGGAUGUGGAAUUCCAGGUGUAGCGGUGAAAUGCGUAGAUAUCUGGAGGAACACCGGUGGCGAAGGCGGCAUCCUGGACCGGUAUUGACGCUGAGGCGCGAAAGCCAGGGGAGCAAACGGG
rnacentral:rRNA from 1 species